GCAUGUCUAAGUUCACACCCUUGUACGGUGAAACCGCGAAUGGCUCAUUAAAUCAGUCGAGGUUCCUUAGAUGAUCCAAAUCUACUUGGAUAACUGUGGUAAUUCUAGAGCUAAUACAUGCCAACCAGCUUCGACCCGACUCGCAAGGGCCGGGAAAGAGCGCUUUUAUUAGUUCAAAACCAGUCGGGUUCUUUCAUUAGGGCCCGUCCGUUGGUGACUCUGGAUAACUUUGUGCCGAUCGCAUGGCCUCGAGCCGGCGACGCAUCUUUCAAAUGUCUGCCCUAUCAAAUGACGAUGGUACGUGAUCUGCCUACCAU
rnacentral:rRNA from 1 species